CCCCUCUCAGGGUCACACCUGGAGAGUUUCCAGUACUCUGCCAGUCUCAGCUACGGGAGGAAGAGUCAAACAGAGGCCUGUCCAUUCCAUUCCUAGCUUGGGCAGUGUCUGGCGAAUGGAAGACAAUCUGCAACCAGU